rnacentral:misc_RNA from 1 species
AAGUGCGAAACGUGGUGCGAUGUGCACGAACCUGUGAGUCAUCGAGUUUUUGAACGCAGUCAGCGCCUGGACAUUCUAGGCAUGAGUGGAUGGGCGGGGCAUAACACCGUUUCUUUGUAUAGAGGAAGAGAUGAGGGAUAGCGGUGUGUUGUGAGGAGGAUGUGAUUGUCAUGAGAUUGACAUGAAAGUGAUUGAUCAAGUGAUUGACCAAGUGAUUGGUCAUCAGCCUCCUCAUACACCCCGCAACCCUUGAAAUAUAGAUCGGGACGGGAAAGAUGUCUGGUGAUGUGAUACGACCAUAUACGGUUCUUUUCACACUCUUCAUCCUUCCCCCCCCUAAUCAACACAGCCCCACCACCCACUCAGGAUUACCCGCUAAACUUAA